GAUAUCCCCUUUUGAUCGCCAUGGGUUUAAUUUUACAUGUUUUAUAUUGUCUAUGAUUAUAUUGUUGCGCCCGUGCGAGUCUGUCCGAGACGCCCGGUAUGCGCCCGUGCUAGCGGCGAGUUGAGAAUCGUCCCUGACGACCAGCUGAUAUGGAUUAUUGAUUUUCCUGUGAUGUUCUGUUGUUGUUUGUUUUCGAGCGGCGGACUUCGUGCGAACGUGACAGCUCGAAUCUCUGUAGUAUUUUGUGUGUACUAUUAAAACGAGUCCUUACCAUCUUAUAUUGUGUCACUUCAUUGCCCGCGAGUGCUGGUUGCGCGAGUGACUGAGUGAGUAGGUGUAGUGACGCGAUCUCGAACUGCGGCGAGCGCAACAAUAUAAAAAUACUCGAACCGAUGACUGUGAGACAGUUCCUAAAAUAUUAUAAACAGAUGGAAUCAAAAUUGAAUCGCAUCUGAUCAAUUUGCAAGAUCAUGGCAGGCCACUGCCGCAAGAAGAGCAGAAUCUUUUACCAGAAUUUCCACUGGAAAAUUACAGGGAAUUCGAGAAUUUUGAUGCGAAUCUGUCACAGUCUGCUGAUGUUUGAAGUCAAUUUAUUCGCGACAUACAACUGGUAGGCAGGGCAGACGUAUCGAAAUUUACGAGGGCCGUGUUGAGGCAUGUCAUGACUGAUUCACUGGCAAAAAUUUACUCAUGGUCUGGGCAGCGUAAAACACUGAAGUUCAGUUCAACUGUAAUUUGUCAAUUGAUUAUCAAAACUAUUUCCAAGCAAACAGAUGCGACCAGAACGAGCAUAAAAAAAACUAUUAAAUCGUGGUUGCAACAUGCAACGGACAGGAUGCGAUAACUAAUUGCGAUAAGUUUCUAUAACUAUAACUAUAACUAUAAGUUUCUAUAAGUUUUACUAGUUUUUAUAAGUUUUACUAGUUUUUAUA